CACCGGCGGCUCGAGUGGUAACCGCUAUUAUUGGGUCUAAAGGGUCUGUAGCCGGCCUGGUUAGUCCCUUGGGAAAUCUGGCCGCUCAACGGUCAGGCUUUCAGGGGAUACUGCCGGGCUCGAGACCGGGAGAGGUGAGAGGUACUUCAGGGGUAGGGGUGAAAUCUUGUAAUCCUUGAAGGACCACCAGUGGCGAAGGCGUCUCACCAGAACGGAUCUGACGGCAAGGGACGAAAGCUAGGGGC
rnacentral:rRNA from 1 species